AGUAGGAGGAGGACGGGGAAAGAAAGUAGAGAAGAGUGUGUUUGAAAAAAGAAAUGGAAGUAGGGGAGGAGGAAAAGAGGGGAAAGGAAGAACUGGAAAAGAACUUAGAAGGUGAAGGAAGAGUGUUAGGGCGUUAGAAAUGGAUGGAAGAGGAUUGCAUAAGACCUCUUCCCGCCUCUUUAUCAUUUACUCUCCUUCGUGUCAGUCUGUAAGUGGGUCAAUCAGAUAAUCUAGACCUCUAAGUGUGUAUAAUAAGCUGAAAAGAUGAAGGAAGGGUAUUAGUGAGCCAGAAAGAUGUAAGUAGGAUUAGGGAACAGUUCUGAGGGUGACGCUAAGAAGGUAAAGGAAAAGUGUUAGUGAGUUAGUGAGUGACAAGAUGAAGGAAUACAUAGGAAUACAUAGGAAGAACAGACACCAGAAGACCUGUUAGUGAGUCAGAAAGGUGUAAGUAGGAUUAGGGAACAGUUCUGAGGGUGAAAACAAGCUAAGAAGGUAAAGGAAAAGUGUUAGUGAGUUAGUGAAUGACAACAUGAAGGAAUACAUAGGAAUACAUAGGAAGAACAGACACCAGAAGACCUGUAAGUGAGUCAGAAAGAUGUAAGUAGGAUUAGGGAACAGUUCUGAGGGUGAAAACAAGCGUAGAAGGUAAAGGAAAAGUGUUAGUGAGUUAGAGAGUGAAGGAAGGGAGUGAGUGAGUCUAAAAUGAAAAUAAGUAAGGUUUUAAGGGAACAUGAGGGAAGGGGAAAGGAAGGGAGGGGAAGGCAAGGAGGAAAGGGAGAGGAAAAUUAAGGUGAGAGAAAGCUAGGUCGGGUAGGAGGGAGGUAAAAUAAGGAGUACUUCAGACGGGGGAGGAAGAUAGUACAUGUAUAGAACGAGUAAUGAUGGAAAAGUAGAUGGCUCCCCCCCUCCCCCUCCCCCACCUCUCCCUCCUGUAACGCCCCGGCAGAAAGGAGAUAGAAGGAAAUACCGUGAUGAAAGGGGAGGAAGAGGAGGUAAAGAGAGAAAGGAAAGAAGGAAAAGAAGAAGAGGGAAGGAGAAGAUAGGAGAUGAAGGAGGAAG